AGAUGUGAGGUAGAUCUGACUGCGACAUCUAUCAUGCCAUUGAUUAUCAGGGUUAUUUGGCUGAUUUGACUGGCUAGGAAGGUGUUCCCUUCCUUCCUCCCAGCUCUAUGUAUAUUCUUCCUGUAACUGCAUGCCUGCACAAAGAGGAUGACAUUCCUUGAUAAAGGAAAAUACUGUUCUUUGUUCAAAGAUAUACAAGUAGCUGCCCUCCCCUACAAGAAUUUCCAAACAAGCUCUCAAGGCAUUCUUAGUAUUCUUAACAGUGUUCUACUUAAUGGCAAAAACAAACAAACAAAACCCCAAAACUUUGCUUU
ensembl:misc_RNA 7SK 7SK RNA